rnacentral:rRNA from 1 species
GAUGAACGCUGGCGGCGUGCCUAAUACAUGCAAGUCGAGCGAACAGACGAGGAGCUUGCUCCUCUGACGUUAGCGGCGGACGGGUGAGUAACACGUGGAGAACCUACCUAUAAGACUGGGAUAACUUCGGGAAACCGGAGCUAAUACCGGAUAAUAUAUUGAACCGCAUGGUUCAAUAGUGAAAGACGGUUUUGCUGUCACUUAUAGAUGGAUCCGCGCCGCAUUAGCUAGUUGGUAAGGUAACGGCUUACCAAGGCGACGAUGCGUAGCCGACCUGAGAGGGUGAUCGGCCACACUGGAACUGAGACACGGUCCAGACUCCUACGGGAGGCAGCAGUAGGGAAUCUUCCGCAAUGGGCGAAAGCCUGACGGAGCCACGCCGCGUGAGUGAUGAAGGUCUUCGGAUCGUAAAACUCUGUUAUUAGGGAAGAACAAAUGUGUAAGUAACUAUGCACGUCUUGACGGUACCUAAUCAGAAAGCCCCGGCUAACUACGUG